GAUGAACGCUGGCGGCGUGCCUAAUACAUGCAAGUCGAACGCGUGGCGGACGGGUGAGUCACGUCUGGGACCCUCCCUUAUGGAGGGGGCUAACUCCUGGAACCGGUAGCUAAUACCGCAUACCAUCGGAUGUGCCCAGAUGGGAUUAGCUAGUAGGUGGGGUAACGGCUCACCUAGGCGACGAUCCAUAGCUGGUCUGAGAGGAUGACCAGCCACACUGGGACUGAGACACGGUCCAGACUCCUACGGGAGGCAGCAGUAGGGAAUAUUGCGCAAUGGGCGCAAGCCUGAUGCAGCCAUGCCGCGUGUAUGAAGAAGGCCUUCGGGUUGUAAAGUACUGUCAGCGGGGAGGCGUUACCCGAAGAAGAAGCACCGGCUAACUCCGUGCCAGCAGCCGCGGUAAUUC
rnacentral:rRNA from 1 species